AAGUUAAUUAAUCUACUUAUCUGAAUGUGUUUCUGAUGAAAUUGAGAAAAAGCUAGCAAUAGUGACACCAUAUUAUGAGCCUUAAGGGCAAAUGAAGUCAUUAAGGUCCCUGAAAGUAGCUGUAAUG
rnacentral:snoRNA from 1 species